rnacentral:rRNA from 1 species
GGCGGACGGGUGAGUAACGCGUGAGAAUCUGCCUUCAGGACGGAGACAACAGUUGGAAACGACUGCUAAGCCCCGAUGAACCGAAAGGGAAAAUAUUUAUAGCCUGAAGAUGAGCUCGCGUCCGAUUAGCUAGUUGGCGGAGUAAAGCCCACCAAGGCGACGAUCGGUAGCUGGUCUGAGAGGACGAUCAGCCACACUGGGACUGAGACACGGCCCAG